AGUGAACGCUGGCGGUAGGCCUAACACAUGCAAGUCGAACGGCAGCACAGUAAGAGCCUGCUCUUACGGGUGGCGAGUGGCGGACGGGUGAGGAAUACAUCGGAAUCUACUUUUUCGUGGGGGAUAACGUAGGGAAACUUACGCUAACACCGCAUACGACCUACGGGUGAAAGCAGGGGAUCUUCGGACCUUGCGCGAUUGAAUGAGCCGAUGUCGGAUUAGCUAGUUGGCGGGGUAAAGGCCCACCAAGGCGACGAUCCGUAGCUGGUCUGAGAGGAUGAUCAGCCACACUGGAACUGAGACACGGUCCAGACUCCUACGGGAGGCAGCAGUGGGGAAUAUUGGACAAUGGGCGCAAGCCUGAUCCAGCCAUACCGCGUGGGUGAAGAAGGCCUUCGGGUUGUAAAGCCCUUUUGUUGGGAAAGAAAAGCAGCAGGUUAAUACCCCGCUGUUCUGACGGUACCCAAAGAAUAAGCACCGGCUAACUUCGUG
rnacentral:rRNA from 1 species